rnacentral:rRNA from 1 species
UACGAAGGGGGCGAGCGUGUUCGGAAUUACUGGGCGUAAAGCGCGUGUAGGCGGUUAUCCAAGUCGGGUGUGAAAGCCUUGAGCUCAACUCAAGAAAUGCAUUCGGUACUGGGUGACUAGAGGACCGGAGAGGAUAGUGGAAUUCCCAGUGUAGUGGUGAAAUACGUAGAGAUUGGGAAGAACACCAGUGGCGAAGGCGGCUAUCUGGACGGUUUCUGACGCUAAGACGCGAAAGCGUGGGGGAGCAA